GACUCUCAACAACGGAUAUUUUGGCUCUUGCAUAGAUGAAGAACACAACAAAAUGUGAUACUUGCUAUGAAUUGUAGAAUCCCAUGAACCUUCAAGUUUUUGAACUAAAGAUACGCCCGAGGGCAUGUCUGCCUGGGCAUCA
rnacentral:rRNA from 1 species